CCUACGGGGGGCUGCAGUGGGGGAUAUUGCACAAUGGGGGAAACCCUGAUGCAGCGACGCCGCGUGUGGGAAGACGGUCCUCUGGAUUGUAAACCACUGUCCCCAGGGACGAAGAUGACGGUACCUGGGGAGGAAGCUCCGGCUAACUACGUGCCAGCAGCCGCGGUAAUACGUAGGGAGCGAGCGUUGUCCGGAAUUACUGGGGGAAAAGGGAGCGUAGGCGGGAAUGAGAGUUGGGUGUCAAAUCUACCGGCUCAACCGGUAGCCGCACUCAAAACUGCAGUUCUGGAGUGAAGUAGAGGCAGGCGGAAUUCCUAGUGUAGCGGUGAAAGGCGUAGAUAUUAGGAGGAACACAGGUGGCGAAGGCGGCCUGCUGGGCUUUUACUGACGCUGAGGCUCGAAAGUGUGGGGAGCAAACAGGAUUAGAUACCCUAGUAGU
rnacentral:rRNA from 1 species